AACGAACGCUGGCGGCGUGCUUAACACAUGCAAGUCGAACGCGAAAUUUUUCUUCGGAAAGAGAGUAGAGUGGCGCACGGGUGAGUAACGCGUAAGUUAUCUACCUCGGCAUCUGGAAUAACUCACCGAAAGGUGUGCUAAUACCGGAUACGUCGAGUAAUCAAGAAAGGUGGCCUCUGAAUAUGCUACUGUGCUGAGAUGAGCUUGCGUACCAUUAGCUAGUUGGUAGGGUAAUGGCCUACCAAGGCGACGAUGGUUAGCGGGUCUGAGAGGAUGAUCCGCCACACUGGAACUGGAACACGGACCAGACUCCUACGGGAGGCAGCAGUGAGGAAUAUUGCGCAAUGGGGGCAACCCUGACGCAGCGACGCCGCGUGGAUGAUGAAGGCCUUCGGGUCGUAAAAUCCUGUCAAGUGGAAAGAAGUGCAUGGUGGUUAAUACCCAUCAUGUUUGACGGUACCACUGAAGGAAGCACCGGCUAACUCCGUGCCAGCAGCCGCGGUAAUACGGAGGGUGCAAGCGUUGUUCGGAAUUACUGGGCGUAAAGCGCGCGUAGGCGGUUUUAUAAGUCAGAUGUGAAAGCCCAUGGCUCAACCAUGGACGUGCAUUUGAAACUGUGAGACUUGA
rnacentral:rRNA from 1 species